rnacentral:antisense_RNA from 1 species
CCAAUACUCAACAGAAACUGCUCUGCACUGGCCCCACAUUAGGGGGUUCCUAUCUACGGUUUCUAAAUGUGAGCCCCUUGACAACUGCUGUGGCAGACACGACCAUCCCCAUGGAGGGGCUGAGAACAAUGAAGCACAGACAGGCCAGGGUCACCCAAAGCCGGGAUGACAGCCCGCUUUUCUCUGGUGGUUCUACUCAGCCGCUCCACUGAGGAGAUGGGAGAGGUGAGGGGCGCAGGAGGAAGGUGGAGCUCAAAGGCACUGUCUUCACAGUCCAGAGGUCUCAAACUCCAGCAUUUCAGAAUGAAAGGACUCACAAGUGCUCACAAGAGGCUGGGCUGCCAGGGGAAGCUCCGACCUGAAGAUUUGAACUAAUGAGGGACUGUAAAGGCCAAGACCUUGUUCUUGCCGUUUUAGAGAUUCAGAAUAUAAUCUACAAAGUUAGAGAUUAUAAUUGGCCUCCACUGUGUGAUUUGAUUCCAAGCUACCCAUGAAGAAACCCAGACUCAGAGGUCACUUGCCUAGGGUCACACAGUGACCUGAGAUGGGAAUCACAGGUCGCCACACACUUGGUCACCAGGAGUGGGCCUGGUGAGGCCAAAAAAGGUGACUUCAUCUGUCAAGGUUACUCACACGGGGCAGCUGAUUCUGUUUCCUAGGCCUGUGUCUUAGGCUCUUCCAUCUCUCUAACCACUAGAGUCCCUCUGUCCUCAAGUCAUCACAAUAAACUCCUGUUAUGUCUUGGAAUUCUCUUUGCCCAAGCACUCAGGCCCUGCCCUGGCAGCUCCAGAGGAAUGCCCGGGACCUUUCUGAGCUGAGUGAUGGGUCUCCCCAUUUGUGACAGGGGGAAUUUGAAUAUCUUAGGGAGAGCUCUUCCCUUCCUCUCCUGAUAUGGGGACUUCUGAGUUCCCUGGGAGAAGUUGAGGGCUGGGGUAGAAAUGGUAGGGAGCUCCGCCUGUCUUCUGGUACCUUGGACUGUAUUUCUAUUGACCACUGCCAAGUUGUGGAAGAAACAGUACUUAUUGGCAA